rnacentral:rRNA from 1 species
GGAAGGAUCAUUAACGAAUAACUAUGGUGUCUUGGUUGUCGCUGGCUCCUCGGAGCAUCGUGCACGCCCGCCAUUUUUAUCUAUCCACCUGUGCACCGAAUGUAGGUCUGGAUGACUCUCGCCUCCGGGCGGAUGCGAGGUUUGCGUGCGAGCGCUCUCCUCGAAUUUCCAGGCUCUACGUCUCUUUACACACCCCAAACGUAUGAUGCAGAAUGUAGUCAAUGGGCCUUUACAAGCCUAUAAAACACUAUACAACUUUCAGCAACGGAUCUCUUGGCUCUCGCAUCGAUGAAGAACGCAGCGAAAUGCGAUAAGUAAUGUGAAUUGCAGAAUUCAGUGAAUCAUCGAAUCUUUGAACGCACCUUGCGCUCCUUGGUAUUCCGAGGAGCAUGCCUGUUUGAGUGUCAUUAAAUUCUCAACCUCACCGGUUUUCUGAACCGUUCUCCGAGGCUUGGAUGUGGGGGUUUGUGCAGGUCGCCUCAGCGCGGUCUGCUCCCCUGAAAUGCAUUAGCGAGAUUCAUUCUGGACCUCCGUCUAUCGGUGUGAUAAUUAUCUACGUCGUUGACUUGGUUCGGACUCGCUUCUAACCGUCCGCGAGGACAACAUACUUGACAAUUUGACCUCAAAUCAGGUAGGACUACCCGCUGAACUUAAGC